GUCUUUGUAGCUUAUUAUCCAAAGCAUGGCACUGAAGAUGCCAAGAUAGAUACUCAAACCAUCUCAACGACA
rnacentral:tRNA from 1 species